ensembl:piRNA 21ur-13154 ncRNA
UGUAUUUGACCCUUUUUCACA